CAAUAGUGAUUCCUGAAGUAGUGGCGAGACGAAAGGAAAAAGCCUAAACUUAAGCAGCGUGCUGCUUAAGGGUUGUAGGACUGCAUUUAGAAAUCAUCAUCAAGUAAAAUCUUCUGGAAAGUGGAGCCAUAGAGGGUGAUAGCCCGUAAACAGAAAAUGAUGAGGACGAGCAGUAUCCUGAGUAAGGCGGGACCGGAGGAAUCCUGCCCGAAUCUGCCAGCACCAUCUGGUAAGGCUAAAUACUCCUCAGACACCGAUAGUGAACCAGUACCGUAAGGGAAAGGUGAAAAGCACCCUAAACAAGGGAGUGAAAUAGUACCUGAAACCGUGUGCCUACAAGCGGUCGGAGUCCGCACAGCAAUGUGUGGGAUGACGGCGUGCCUUUUGCAUAAUGAGCCUACGAGUUACUCCUCACUGGCGAGGUUAAGCUGAAAUAGCGGAGCCGUAGCGAAAGCAAGUCCAA
rnacentral:rRNA from 1 species